UACGUAGGGGGCAAGCGUUGUCCGGAUUUACUGGGCGUAAAGCGCGUGUAGGCGGCCAGAUAAGUCCGCUGUGAAAUCUCGAGGCUCAACCUCGAGCUGUCGGUGGAAACUGUCUGGCUAGAGUCCGGAAGAGGAGAAUGGAAUUCCUGGUGUAGCGGUGAAAUGCGCAGAUAUCAGGAAGAACACCCGUGGCGAAGGCGGUUCUCUGGGACGGUACUGACGCUGAGACGCGAAAGCGUGGGGAGCGAACAGG
rnacentral:rRNA from 1 species